AUAAUUUGUUUCAUUUUCAAGGCACAAAGAGUUUAUGUCAAUCAUUUUAAUGUCUAAGAAUACAAAGUUAGCACUAGUAACAUCUGGUAGUCUAAUCAUUUAUCAUGCUUAAAUGUAACAUUACAAAACUACAUUUUAAAAUCUGCCCCCUAACCAGAUGUGAAACAACGUGGACAAGGGUGACAUGUGCUAGACCCAAUCUCCAAAAACGUAUGGUUGACAAAGACAGCUGACUGCUGGGGUAAAACUGCAGCAGUCAUAAUCGAAGAGCGAAAGAGGCCACUCUAUUAAAGACUUUGUUUCUUUUGCUAGACAUUUUUCACCUAAUCCCAGGAUAGUUUCUGUUAAUGCAUCUUACUCUCUUUCAAACGAAUCGUCCCUAGAGCAGGUGUACACAUUAAAAAUGAGCUUUAUAGCAUCAAACACAUACCACAACCAACUCUACAAGGAGGGUUUUCUGUAAGAUGUGUACGACUGUCCGAAGAACACAUUCUGGCUGAUAAGUCUCAGCUCCUGUGAGGUCCUGAUGAGUAUCUAAACAACCUCACAUUUUCUCUUCCACGCCUA
rnacentral:lncRNA from 1 species